rnacentral:rRNA from 1 species
UACAUGGGGUGCAAGCGUUACUCGGAAUCACUGGGCGUAAAGAGCGCGUAGGCGGCUUGGUAAGUCUGAUGUGAAAGCCCCGGACUCAAUUCGGGAAGUGCAUUGGAUACUGCUAGGCUGGAGUACAGGAGAGGUGAACGGAAUUCCUGGUGUAGAGGUGAAAUUCGUAGAUAUCAGGAGGAACAACAGUGGCGAAGGCGGUUCACUGGACUGUCACUGACGCUGAGGCGCGAAAGCGUGGGGAGCAAAC